GGGUUGUGAGGUUAAGCGACUAAGCGUACACGGUGGAUGCCCUGGCAGUCAGAGGCGAUGAAGGACGUGCUAAUCUGCGAUAAGCGUCGGUGAGGUGAUAUGAACCGUUAUAACCGGCGAUUUCCGAAUGGGGAAACCCAGUGUGUUUCGACACACUAUCAUUAACUGAAUCCAUAGGUUAAUGAGGCGAACCGGGGGAACUGAAACAUCUAAGUA
rnacentral:rRNA from 1 species